rnacentral:rRNA from 1 species
GAUGAACGCUGGCGGCGUGCCUAAUACAUGCAAGUCGAGCGAACGGACGAGAAGCUUGCUUCUCUGAUGUUAGCGGCGGACGGGUGAGUAACACGUGGAUAACCUACCUAUAAGACUGGGAUAACUUCGGGAAACCGGAGCUAAUACCGGAUAAUAUUUUGAACCGCAUGGUUCAAAAGUGAAAGACGGUCUUGCUGUCACUUAUAGAUGGAUCCGCGCUGCAUUAGCUAGUUGGUAAGGUAACGGCUUACCAAGGCAACGAUGCAUAGCCGACCUGAGAGGGUGAGCGGCCACACUGGAACUGAGACACGGUCCAGACUCCUACGGGAGGCAGCAGUAGGGAAUCUUCCGCAAUGGGCGAAAGCCUGACGGAGCAACGCCGCGUGAGUGAUGAAGGUCUUCGGAUCGUAAAACUCUGUUAGUAGGGAAGAACAUAUGUGUAAGUAACUGUGCACAUCUUGACGGUACCUAAUCAGAAAGCCACGGCUAACUACGUG